rnacentral:lncRNA from 1 species
UAAUAACUCAAAUGUGUAAAACAAGCUUUUUCAAAACCCAACUCUGGAAAAUCAUCAGCUCUUUGCAACUGCAUCACUUGAUGCUGCUUCUGGUGUGGGUUUGAGAAUAAUUUCAACAUUGUCAUGAACUCCUUGUAACAGAAGUUCCCCGUCGUAUGUCAAGACUUUACGCCUUUUUGCUGCACGCAAUGUUCCAACCAGUGCUUCAAAGAUGUUUGCACAUCUGUCAUCGUUAAACAGCACGCCGAAUGUAACCUUCAAAUCAAAAACAGAGCAGAGGUGAUAUCAACUCUAUACGUUUAAAUUUCUCUAAUUAAGAAAAAUAAAAGAAUUUGUGCAUCUUCAUGUAAGAAGAUGGAAGAUUUCAUGUAGCAAAGACUAAUAAAAUGGUGCACAGUUGAUAAUAAUCAAGUCAUUAGGUUGUAGGAUUCUAUAGUUACUGACAAAUGAAUCACAAAAUUAUUAGUUAUAACCAUUGUAAGAACCAUACUUCUCGUAGAACAUUACUCAAUGAUCAUGAUCAAACAUUCAUUAUAUGAAUUUUAUUCAUCAUCCAUUUAUAGCGUAAUAGGCCAAAUUUCAAGUAAUUAUAUUAUAAUUUGUUUUUAAAGCAAUAAGGUUCAGUUAAAAAAGAAAGAAGACAGUUACAGCCAUUUACAUGUAAAGCAAGUUGGAAGCCAUCAUUUAUGAAAAUUGUAUCGCAUUAUAUUGCAUGAUGCAUCUUCUCUACCCUUGUGCUGUCCUAUAUCUCGUCAUGCCAAAAUAGGUUUUCAAGAAACAACGCCGCUGAACAAUACACCUUAAUACUGGAGAUGACCAAAUUAUUCAUUUAGUGCAUGUUAUGGUAAAAAGUACCAGACAAGAAUGUUGAGUACAAUAUAUAAUAUGUUAGCUUCUUUGUCUUCCUUAAUACUGUCCUCUAAUAUAUAAUACACCUUACCAACGAGCCAAUAACGUAUUUCUCAAUUAGUAAACUCUCUGUACAUUCGACUCUCCAUCCUAAGCAACAAUGAUCUAUUAAGAAUCUCCACACUAUGAAACCAACAUUUGAUAUCACUCAAUAUCAGUUCAUUCAGUGUAUGCCUUUGUUGUGAUCCAUUUUAAAACAUUCGAUUCUCCAAGAAAUACUUUUACUAGCUCAAAUACUAGUCAGAUAAUAGAAAUAAACGUAAAUAAGUAAUAAAGGCAGGAAUGCCUUUCCCUUAGUUCAAGUAACCUCUGCUUCCAAGAGACAUCAACAUGGUAACACCUUCUCUAGAUAUGUAAUAAUUCAAAUCAACCAAUAUUUUCAAAAUUUCCUUCUCCUUUUUAUUUUGUCUGAACACAAGAAGAAAUCAUCAUUACCAGAUAGGCAUCUUUACACCAAAAAGCACUAUUCCUCCAUGUAUUUAUACUAAUCUCCACAUCAUUAACUCCAUCGUACAAAACCAUCAACAACAAAAGCAGAAACCACGUACACAGUCAUUGAUAAUCUAAGGUGCAUACAAACGAGAAAUACAAUACGGGCAUGUUUGAUACACAAUAUUUGACGUGAUCAGAGAAUAAAAGAGCCAGGGUUUUUGCUUAUAUUCCCCUCAAUACCUCUAGUAUAGUUUAUUCAACCAUAAGAAUGCUAACUGUAUCCUCUAUCUUACGAAUUAAAUGAAGUAGUUUGUGACCAAGAUCAAUUCAAGAUUUUUGAACAAAAAAACAAAAAUGUACAUAUCAUACAAUAUUGAAAACUUCUAUCUAGUUGAAACCAAUAACUAAUGAAGUGCAGUCUAGCUCUCCUUCCUCUCACCUUUGUUUACAUCAAUAGUACAACACAAAAUUAGAAAUCCCCAAAAGUAAAAACAACAUACCCAGAAGUAGUAAAUAAUUUGGAAAUAAUAUCAUCAUCUGGAUCAAAUUGACACGGGCCUAGAUCGAAUCAAAGCUGAUUUGAUUCUUUAUUUCUUUUUCUAAAGCAUUGAAAAUAUGAGAACAUAAUCUAUGUAAUCAUAUGCUGAAUGCGAUGAGUGAAAGACAAUUUACAGAAUUGUACCUUGUAAGAGCCAUCAUCUUGGGGUUUUCCGAGUCGUUUGAUUUCUUCUUUGAGUCGCUCUACCUCUUCUUCUACAUUCAUGAUUACUGUUAGAUCUGUUUGAUUUUCUUCUUUGGAUGCGAUAAGAUCAAAUUUUCCGUUUUAUACAGUGAGAUAUGAGGAAACUGUAAAACGGCUAAUUACACUAUGGCCCCCUUCCUUUUCACCAAAAUUUUAUUUUUGUCACUCAUAUUCUAUUUAAUACUCAAUAUAGUCGAGGAUAGGGAUGGCAAAGAAGCGAUGUGGGUUCAUUUUUCCGCCCGAAAAAAAAGUGUUUGUCGAACAAAAUUAGGCGUACAUUGAUUGUGAAAAUGAGGGGAAAACAUGUACAUACCUGUACAAUAGUUGAUGAAAUGUGAUAUUUUAUUUUUAUUUUUUUUUGUGGGAAAUACGAGUACAUAUUUGCACAACAAUUGAUGAAAUGUAUUUUAUUUUUUUAUUUAUUUUUUAUUUUUUUAUGUUGAUGGGAGGGAAGUAGAGUUAUUUUCCUACCCAUCAUAGAAUGAGCAUUAUUUGAAUUAUGAAUGGUCUAAAUUCACUCAAAAUCGAGGGGAUCGUGACAUCGAUACUUUUUUAACCCAUGUAGGCCUAGGAAUGGCAGUGGGUCAGGGUCAGGGCGAGGUUCAUAGAAUGAACAUUAUUUGAAUUAUAAAUUGUCCAAAUUCACUCAAAAUUGAGGAGCUUGUGACAUCGAUACUCUUUUAACCCAUGUAGGCCUAGGGAUGACAGUGGGAAGGGUUCGGGGCAGGACAAUGGCUUAUAUCGUUUUAUUUUUUUUUACAUUUUCAAAUCUUCGAGUUAUGUUUUAUUAAAGAAUAAAAUACUAAUUCAAAAUGAGUUUUUAACGGGUGAAUUGUCUAAAAUUAAUUUUAAUUUUUUUUCUUUACGAGAUGAGUUCAAGGCGAGGUGCCUUGUGCCCCGAGAUGGGGCGGCGAAUUCCGCCUCUCCCUGUCAACCAUCGGUGCUAAUUUUUUUGGCUCCAUUUGAGGACGGCGAUGUGGGUUCAUUUUUCCGCCCCGUUACUCCAUUAAGGCAAGGUGGUGCUCCAUAUAGUUGUUAAAUUUUUUAAUUAAUUUAUUUAUUUUUAAAAGUUAAAUUAUUCAAAUAUAUUUGAUAAACUAAUAUUUUUAUUACUUAUCAUAUUUCUAAUGGUGUAUCUUAUUUUCUUCAUAUUCUUUGUAACUUUAAAACAUGAGGACCAUAUGAACAAAACAUCAACACACAAAGCUUUAUUUUGUAAAUUGUUUAAUAUAAGAUUAUGUUUCAUUGCAAACAUGAAAUUUGCAUAAAAACAAUAUAAAUUCUAUGUAAAUUAUUUGCAUAAAAAUUGUCAAUUAAAUGUAUCUAAUUAAUUUAAUUUUCAAUCUAAAAAAUAUUAUAUUUGUCCGUUUCCAUUGAUGGAUAGGUGACAGAGAGUGGAUCAAUGAAAGAGGGAAAAAAAACUGAAUUCCCUAAAAAAAAAAAAACAAAACAAAACAAAACAAAAAAAAUCCUACUCGUAAGGAAAAUAUUUUUCUUAAUUUUCAAGAAAAUAUGAUCACGUAAUCAAAAGUAGAAAAAUAUUUUCCAUGAAAAAAGUCAAUCAAAAAGCACAAAAGUAAAAAUAUGAAAAAAAAAACACAUUUUUUAUGAAAAAUAUUAACAAUCAAACACACCUUAAAAUUAACAAACUAAUGUAAGUUUAAAAAGUUUAGUACAACAAAUAGACACUCCUCUAAUCUGAAAAAUUAGCCGGCUAAAGCUAGCGUUUGAUUUGAUUGAAAUAUAAAAGAAGUCUAAAAAAAAAAAUUAUCAUAAAACCGUAGAUUUUGAAGAAUUUUUAUCCAUGUGUUCCCAGCAUAUUCAUUCUUAGGUUCAAAGGACUCGACCAUCAAAGCAAUCAAAAUUAUUGUUCACCCCUUUAUUCCAAUUCCAUUUUCAAUCCACUAGAAAUACAUCUAAAUAAGAAUAAAGCAUCGAUUAGGAAAAUUGAAAAAUGCUCCUAGAAGAAAUUAAAUUUUACAACAAAUUAAACCCAACUCAGGAAUUGUUCAAAUUUGCUGAUAAUGAAUGCUCUGGCUGUGAAAAAUAUACUUGGAUAAAAUUACACAAUUUCUCAAACAUAUACACUAUUAUAAGAACAAUAAAAGGCAACAGCCAAAUCAUCCGAGAAAGAUAGCAAUGGCUCCAAAUUUGUUGGAGCUUCUAAAAGCAAUACUUUGACAUUUGUAUAUAAAUAUGCAUGCGUGUGGGUAUGCAAAAAACAAAGCUCGUGUCACUAGAAUACUAACUCUCUAUUGCACCUGAUCCAAGAGUAGGAGCCACCUCUUGAAAGAAAGCAGGAUAGAGAGUCAUCAAAUCCAUGUGUUCUCGACAAACUUGGUCGAAUGCAUUCUUCCAAUCAGUAAAUAUCAACAGUAGGAUAAAGACCCAGAACUGAGUUGCGUCCACCACCGCUAGAAUCUGGCUUAGAAUAGAAUGGCGAGUUCAGCUCCCCAGAAUGCGAUGACUUCCGGAUCUUUGGAUUUUUGGGAGAAGCAGUAUAUGAUUCGCUUGAACUAAUGGUUGAAGAAUACGAAGACGAUGAUGGAAGUCCAUUCAUCUUUGGCAGGCCUGUCGGGUCUGUAUUUAAGCCACUCUCUGCCGUCUCAGCUUGAAGUGGUAAUUCAUCUAAUGUCUACAUAGUAUAGAAGUUAGUUCACUGAAACCACAACUUUCCAGAUAUGAAGCAUUUGCUUAAAGAAUUUUGCAGAACGAUUCAAGAUUAAACAGAUUGUAUGUUCUAGACAAAUUAAACAUAUGGUAUUGCAUAUCUUCGGUUAAAUUAAAUGGAGUCAAACACUGGAAUAAUUAAAGAUGCACUGGAGGAAAAUUCUUAGAGGGAAAUCAACAAAAAAGAAGAAAAACCUAUGACCAACCAUGUUGAUUCUCACAGAAAAUAAUCACGUCCAACUUCGAACCUAGAUAAUCAUGUGACUGCAAAUAUCUGCCAUUUGUAUACUCACCCCAUACAUAUAGGAAAAAAUGGCAGAGCCAGAACAUUUCUCUUCUAUUAAAGGAGGAAUCACCAACUCACCCGGAAAGCUUGCUGCAAAACACGAAGUCUCUCUCGGGUAUGCUUUCUCUUCAUGGAUACCUCAUCAGGCUCCUGUAACAUCUCUUCGAAAAGGUUUUCUCUGACAAUAACAUACAAGCAUCACUAUUUAUGUAAAUGACAGAUUUCUAGCAAACAACCAGCUAGCUGUUCCCUUGUUCAAACCAAGCCAAAUAAUUAAUCUCCUUCCAGAAUGUAACGACAGUUAUGGAACAUAAAACACCGUAUUGGAACGAAAUGCUGAACCCCCAUCCAGCAAAGCUACUUUUCCUGGCAAAAGUUAAAACCAUAACCCAACUCUUUAACCUAGUGUUUCUUUUCUAAAAUUAUGUUUGGAUUGGGAAAAAGAAGGGUUCUCUUGUCCUCUUCCAAGCGAUCAGGAAAUAAAGAAAUGGUUAAUAUAUUCAAGAAAUUACAUGUUUACAAGACAGUGUCAACUCAUCAUAUAUCAUUCUAUCCGGAGUUCUGCCUUUGUUUGGUUUCCACAACAGAUUAAAAGGAAAAGAAAGAAAAGAGAGAAGUCUUUCAUCUAGGCCCACAAACUGUUUUCCUCGAGUUUGUUUAUUUCUGCCACAUGUUUUCCACUUGAAUUUCUUCCUAUUCAUCUCUUUCCAUCUUGGGAAGAUGGGAGUUUCAAUUUCAUGGUUUAAGGAUUUGGCUAGUUCUCCCAUCAAAAUAAUAAAAUACUUUAACAGGGCAUACCUGUAAAGCUUUUUGAUGAAAACAUUGUGGAGCUCUCGUUUCAUGUGGUUUACCUGGGAAGUUUAUCAAUCAUGGAUACAGAAUUGUAAGCAUGUGUAGAAUUUUCCUUUCAUACUAGAAAAAAUCAUAGCAAAUUCAUGAAAUAUUAAUGAAAAUAUUACAUGCAGAAAUACCCCCACAAAAGAAAUGAAGGGGAGACAGGCUGGAAUGAAAGUUACACAAACUUAAACCGUUCAAUGUGUUGUAUGGGAGGUUGUUUACAAAUUAAGGCUGACAAAGCUAUAUAACUCUUAAGGUCUUUGAGAUCAAGAUGUAGAUAAGUAAUCAAAAGUAUAUAAUCAACUAACAAGUCCAACAAAAAAAUGUUAAAAAACUCAACACGAUAGUCCGGUGAAUGCAGAACUUCUUCAUUAAUAUGACUUGCAUAAUGAACUAUUGAAAAGUGUGCAACCUGAGAAUAAAAUUCACGGCAUUUACUAUUGAAGGAACAGAAAAACAUAAUGACAUAAUUUAUGAAACUGAUAGCCAAUUACCAGAAAAUGCAUAAUUGCUUUAGGUACAGAAUCCUCAAUGUUCUUCCGAACAAUGUCAUAAUAUGACCUUAAUAAUAACUUCGUAAUGGCAAUCUCAAUGGCCUCAUGAUCAUUGGUCUCUGAGGGCCUCAGGACGAUUGGGGGCUUCAUCAAGAACAACACAAAGCUGCUUAGGAAAAUAUGCAAGGCAGAUUUCAAGCUUGAAACAUAAGUAACCAAAGAUAACGGAGAGUACCCCAUGUCUAUACCUCGCACAAGUGAAUCAAUGAAACAGAAUGCUCCAUACUCUGAACAGGUUCACUAACUGGCUUGAUAUUUGAAUUUUCUUUAGCGGAUGUUCGAUUAUCAGACCCACCAAAAAUUGAUGAUAUUCUCCAUGUUGCAGAAGUGCCGUUUCCUGAUUAAACCGUAUGUACCAAUAUUAGACUUCAUAGUAGUAGUUAUCUACCAGUUAUUCGAAGAAUAACAUGGUAAGCUACUUGUACACAAAUACAAGUGGGACAAAAGGCCAUGCCAGAUAAAGCAUUUGCUGAAGAACCAGUAAUAUAUGCUGACUAUUGACUUCAUUUUAUGUAAUCAGGUUAAUAAUCACAUUAAUAACAAAUUAGCUGCAGAAGUUCUCGCUUCUUCUAUCAUGAAAAGCUAAGCAUUUGGUAGAAUUGAUAUUUCCCAGUAUCAUGAUUAAAGAUUAAAAAAGAUUAUGAUUCUUCUCCACUAAAAAAUAGAAUACCAGAUGGGGCAGUUUUCCCAGCAUCUGCCACAGGUCGAACACCCUGUUUUUCCAUGCAAAUCAUGACAACAAAACAAUAAAAACAAUUAUUCUUUCUAAUAAUGAAAUCACAAAUAGAUGUUCUUGGAAAUUGAACAACAUAACAACUCAACAAGAUGUGUGAUGUUAGUGAAUAGCCUACCUGCUCAGGAAGAUUUCCACGAGAUUUUGCAGUUCUUUCGGAGUUCAGUGAUUUCUCUGAAUCUCCUGCAUCCUUGUUGAUAAAUGCAAAUAAAAAAUUAGGGAAAGGAUAUUGUAAAUAUAGGCUGAAUCUUCUCAUAUUAUUCAUCCAAUAUAAGGGUUAUUUAUACAAAUAUAAUCCAAUCUAUAGAAGAAAAAGGUAAAAGAAAAUAUUAAUUCCUAACUAGAUGAGGAUAUAAGCUAGAUAAGAAUAUUUCUGUAAUCUCCUAUUCUAACUCAACCAUUUCUAAUGGGAACACAGAGAUGCAAACCAAUCACUACAACAAAGAAUAAUUUUACCUUCUGCCUAGCAACUGGGGCAGCGACCCUGGAGGUCAUCUGUCGUGCCACCUCUACAGCUUUACGACCACCAAUGAAAUUUGGGUGCGAUGUAUUUAUGUAAUCCAUCUGCAACCAAAAUAAUUAGAUUCAAGCAAUCUACAUAUGCUCAAGGGAAAAAAUGACUCAAACAAAUAAUACUGCAGAACAACGGUAAAAAGUGAGCCAAAUUACAGGUGAAGCAUAAAAAGAUUGUACAAAAGAUAAACGAAGGUCAUUGACACAGGAUGAGCGAAAAAAUUCGAUGAACAAAUUAAAAUCUAUAUUAUUAAUGUUUUCUCGAAAUUGUAAAAGAUUCAAUUCCCCCUUUUUUGCAUAUCAUGGUAGACAAUAACAAUGCAAAUUCAGAAAAAGAUAAACUGUAAUUAUGGCUCCAAAUUUAUGCAUAAAGCAAGUCAUAUUUCUACGAUACAAAAGCUCUACAGAAAAUAAUAUAACAGACUCUACAAGCCUAUUCUGCACGUUGUUUCUCCAUCAUACAUGUAUUAGCAGUCCAAAAACUAGUCAAAUUCAGGCUCCACACCAGUAAAAGGUUAAAAAUUAUAAAGGAAUAAAAGGCCCCAAUCCUUCGUCAUAUAUAAUGUCAAUACAGCUGAAACUUGUGGAUAGUGCUGCAAAAAUAUUGCAUCCAAAACAAAAACAAGAAAAAGAGAAAAGAAUGCAAUGGCAUUAACAAAUACAAUAGCUAAGAAAGAUACCUAGAACUUAUGUUUGACAAAGCUUUUUAUAUAAGUUUUAGCAGAUUUUGAUAAAAAUUGAAAAAGUCGAUAAAUGUUGUGGGCAUGAAAUAUGAGGUAAAAAUUAAUUAUUAUCAACUUUGACCUCAACUUUUUAGCAAUUAAGCUAUCCCGAACAAUCAAUAGCUAUCUUAAAGAACUCCAGAUAAUAGAGAAUUUCAUAUAUUAUGAAGAGAAAUCUCAAAAACAAGCAGGCAGGAAAUAAUUUGACAACUAUUUCUUAACUUUGAGCGUCACUCUGUUCUUGAACCUUCUCGGAUUGAGUACAGGAUCUCGAUUUUGAGAAACAUGUGUUUGAGACUGGAUGCAAAGUGUGUGUAUAUGGAUGAGAACGUUGGUUUUAACUCUACUCUCCUUGUGUAAAUGGUCACACUUUAGUCAAUGAUUUAAUAAAGAUUUACUUGUUGGAAAAAGUAGCCUAAGAUACAUACAUUAUUUUGAAAGAACAGCAAAAAUGGAGACGAUGUGGCAAGAAAUGAAUAGGGGACACUGACAGAUCCAUUGCAUAUUUGAAACACAAACCGAGGGUAAAAAUGUGCACGUAAAGAAGACUGCUCAAGGUUGAGGGGGGAGAGGGUGGGCAAGUGGGGAAGGCUAUAGUUUCCAGAAAUCGUCAAAAGAGUAACAGGAAUCAUAGAAUCACCAAAAUGAUUGGAAGUGGACUCAUCUAACUAUAAUACUCGAAGGAAAAGUGAAUCUACAUUGAUCCUCUCGCUUAUAGAUCUAUUUGAUAUUGGAGCAAAAUUAAACAUGAGAAGCUACACGGAAAAAUUGAUUAUCUGUGUGCAAGUAUACCUCCAUUUCAAUAAUGUGUCCUAUCAUUGUCUCUGAUGGCUCAAGGCCGUCUUGUAAACAGUUUCCUGUAACCUCAUCCAUGCGCUUUCUCAGGACAGGAAACCUCUGCAAUUCAUUCAACAUACAACGAUGGCUCAUCUGAAAGAAACCAUUCAGGUUAAUGUCCAGACACUAAGAUGUAUUGCACCCAUGAGACUCUAGAAAUUUGUCCCAAAAAAAAAAAAAAAGAACCUUUACUAGCUCAUCAUAAAUAAACCGAGCACAUUGAAGACUUGGAUCCAACAAACGAGCUAUUUGUCUCCUAACAAGAACUUCAAAUGGAACCUGCAUGUUUCGUUUUGUAUUUACUUUCAUGCUGACUCAGAUUGAAAGGCCAAAAUACUAAAGGAUAAAGCAUUCAGAUUAUUUUAAAGAUCAAAGAUUACAUAGCAAAAUAAGAACAUACAUGUGGUAUAAACAAUGCAGAUUUAAGGCCAGUAGCAUUUUGGAUGGCAGUAUGGAUGUCAUCAUCAGAUAAACCCUCACAUGGAUCUACCUCCUGCAUAUAAAAUUCAUAUUUGGUUAAACUUAAUGUUUAUUAAUAUUGUAGAGAUGACACUGAAAAGCACAGGCAAAUAAGAGAAAAAUGAACGGAAGAAGAUACAACUAUCUCGCCAAGAAAUUCUUCUGUUUCCCUUGCCAAAUGAAGUCCUCUAGAUCACCUUUUUACUUCUAUCUGUACAUGUAUCCUCAUUUCUUCAGGGAAGAACAAUAUCUCCAUUUUAAUAGAAGUUUAAUAAAAACAAUGCAUGGAGUACUGAAAGGUUACUUUGACCAAAAAGGGCAGAAGAUGGAAAAGUAAAAUAAAAAACUCAAUCAUUUUCGCUAGAAUAUCAGUUUCAGAAAAAUCUAAAAUAUCAAUGUCCAGUACAUUCACAUCAAUGAUACAUACCUCCAAGCUCUUCACAAAUAUAUUCUGGAAGAUGUAGUGGAUUCUUGCUCCACCAGACAGUUCAGAAGUUGAUAUUUCUUCAUCUUUUCCUUCUAUCAACGAAGAGAAUGCUGUUUGCAACACAGAAAACCGAAACAACAUUAUUAAGACCCGGCAUUGACUAAAAUCCUUUAGAAGGAUGUGGCAUCCAGUGAAUGUGUUGGAAACUUCAGCAAGAAAUCAAUCAAAUACAAAAUACAUUUAAUUGGAACCAUGAUAUUCUCCACCGGGGCCCGGGGGGGGGGAGAGAAGGUCAUAUACCUUCAGAGUAUUUUGAAAGAAUGUUCAGUAUCAAUGCUCCCUGACCAGCCUGCAUCACAAAAAUGUGAGAUCAAUAAUCAAGAUUCAAAAUAGUUCUUUGUUUUUAAAAUGUGAAACCAGAUCAUUCUAUGAAUUGCAGGCAUUUGCAAUUGCUAAUAUUUGCGUAUUCCGGGAAAUAAAUCGGUGAGGGAAGGAAAAGGUAAAGCGAGAGUUAUGAACUAUUUAUCAUCCUCAUGGUCUGCCCCUGUAAAAACAGUUCUUUAUUUUGAAAAUGCCAAAGUACAAAAGGAUUGAACCAAAUAAAUGAGGUGAUCUGCUAUUAAAUGAAUUCCAGAAUAAAAUCAUCCAACGAGAUAUUAGAACAAACUUUUGAUUCGGAAAUCUCUCCAUAGCUAGCAUGCUCCUUUGCAACAGAAACCAGUUCGGUACUAAUUCGUGACUUCAAUACAGGAAGAACUGUCUUGAUGUGUUGUAUCAGAAUCUGCAGAACAAGCAGCAAACUUCAGUUUUUGUUCGUCACAUUUUUCUGAUGAAGCAUAAUAUUGAUCAUAAGAAUAAUAGAAGAAAGCUUGUAUCUCAUUACCUCACAAACUAACAAAAUAUUAAAAAAAAAUUAAAUGCUUGUGAAAAUGAUAGUGACCACAAGCAAGUAAAAAACACUUCAUAUCAUAAUAAAGUUUUGUUGCAUUGAGAUGUUACUUAGAGCAACUUAUACGGUAAAAUGGGUAUAAAAGACAUCAGUCCAAGACUGCAUUCUACUGCGUGCAUACACAUCUCCAAGAUAUAAAUGCACGUGAGUGCAUCAUGCAGCCAAAAUUAUGCACAUGAACAGAAUGGCAUCUGGGUGUGUGGGAGUAGGUAGGCAAAAUAUGCAAUAAUGGCAUGCAUGUAAUGUGUCAAACAAGGGCAAUGUAUUUCUGAAGAUAUAUUACAGGAAAGUAAUUGCAACUCAGUCUCAAAAUAUCUACCUGGUUUAACUUCUUUGCCAACUGAGGAACCCCACAACGAUCUGCAAGAUCCCUAUAUGCCUAUAAAAAUGAAAGUUAAUGAUCUGAGUGACAAGCCAAAGACAAUCAAGAUAUAAGCUAAUAAUGAAAAUGAUUAAGGUCAUACCGGAUGACUAUUAAAGAACUUCUCCUCGGCUAUAAGAGCAUCUUUGAUACUGCGGUUCAUCUGAAUAUCCUGUUUAUGGAAGGUAUGGCCCAACUAGUAAGAAAUAUAUAGACGUAACAUGGCCUUAAAAUAACCAAUAACUUCUGCAACCAAAUAUUAUACAAAAACACAGUUUUCUAGUCAGUUAUGAUUUUUAAGUAUUUUUAAAUUUCCCCAAUGUCAUUAAACAUGUCCCCUUGGGUUCCUCAACAUCAUUGUGAUCUCACAUCAUGUUCCUUCAAUCGAUCUGCAUAUAUUUCUCAAGCAGGAAUUAGAAAAUAACAAAGUUGAAAAAAAUGGUGUGUAGAAUUCUUGAAAAGGAAAAACAUCAACCUUCUUUUAAUUUAUUUAUAUUUCUAAAUAGCGAAUCUCAAUCACAACAAGCAACUAGAAAUUAGGUAUAUAUACAGGAUAGCUAAACUAAGUUACGCCACGGAAUUAACUAGAAGAUAGGCAGCUAGGACAAAUAACCCGAACUUCUCCCUAUUUCUCCAUUGCAUAAAUAAAUUUACAAAUAAAUUUAUCUGACUAUAAUUUAUUGUCAUUGAUCUCGCAAACUGGAGUAUUCAUAUUUUAAUAUAAUAGUACAAAAGUUAAUUUCAUGGAGCGCAGAGAAUUUUCAUUUCUUAUCAAUUCUCUUUCCUGUUUCUGUUUGGGAAUCUGAAAGGGAAUAAAAAGAUAACUGGAUUUCAGAUUUCUCCAAGUACCAAAUAAAGUCUAGUUCCUCAAGCUCUCACUGUACAGCAGUGCUAAUUUUCAAAUUUGGAUUAAAUUUGAGCCUGACCUUUCCAUUAUUUACAAACAUGCAGUUACAGAGUAUCGCCUUUUAAAUGUUAACUCUUGCUCCAACUAAAUUUCUGAGGACAUCAUCAUCCAUUCAGCUUCUAACAAUCAUCUACUUGAUCACAUAUUUGUAGCCUUAGCAAAUGCUAAAUUCCAUCAAAAUUGUUGAAACAUUAACAUCGUCAUCAAUUUAGCAUCUUACAAGUCAUUUGCUUGACUAUAUUUUGUAGUUUGAAUUAAUACUGAUCUGCAUCGAAAUUGCCAAAAAAAUCCAAAACAAAUCAUAGAACGAAACAAUUUUCUGCAUAUAAUGGUGAUGCUGGCACCAAAGCAAGGAAAAUUUGAAAGAUAACAUAAGCGGACAGAGGAGUCUCAAUUCUCGGGUAAUCAAACAAAAAUAAAUGUACUGAGAUGUAGAUCACUCCUGAACAGGGAAAAAUGGUUUCUAAAAAUAAUAAAAUAUUUGAUUAAUAAAUCAUUCAAGAAAGACAACACAUCAUAUAUAAUAUAGUGCAAUUGAGAAGAUAGUUGACAAUCUUAUUUGAGAAAGGCAUACAUGUACAUAAUGUGUUGCAAAGGAGAAGAUAAUUUCACAUACUCAUUUAGCCAUCUCCAUUACCUCAGCUUUUGAUUGUGUACUAAAUAGAAAGACACAAAUCUACAUAUAAAGCAUGUGUCUAGUGAACCAAAUUAACCAGAAAGGGCACAAUAAAACAGCUACCAUUUUUAUGUCACUCAUACGGACAUCAUUAAACAUAAGAUAAAUUCCAAAUUUGCGAUUGAAAUUGUCGAGAGAAGAGGGCAGUAAUAAAUGUACUAAUUUACUUGCAAACCGCUUGAGUUUAGAAAGUAUGACCAUCACUUUGACAAGAUAUAAUAAAACGUAACUCGCAUCAAUAUUCCAUCAAUCUGAAGCUGAAAUAUUACCUCUUGACUACGAUUCACAACACCUACGUAACCAAGUUGAAGAUGAACAUCUUUUCCAAGCAGAAUUUUGCAAGCAUCAGUACCUCUAUCCAUGAUAUCCAACUGAUGCAACAACGAAAACAAUGCAUAGUUGUCUUAAGGGGAAAAAAAAUAAGAGAGCAACACAAACAACUAUACUUCUUAACAAACAAAUUUCACCUUAGUAAUUACACCAAUUGUUCGAGACCCUGCCAAUAGAAAAGUUUAUUCAUGAGCUAGAGAAUCCAAGUGCAAUAACAUCCUGGUAAUAGGUUUCUUUGGUAGAUGAAGAUAUUAAGUGCAGAGCCUACCCCCAGGAUCAGCAGUUUUAGCCAGUUGAAGAGCAUCCGAGUUAGACAAGUCAGAAUUUGCGGGUGUAACAGCUAAUAUCAAGCAACUUGGAGGUCUAAUGUAUGAAUUUAUCAUUUUUCUAAUACGUGCUUCGAUAUCAGAAGGCUGAUCGCCAACAGGGACCUUUGUUAUGCCAGGCAAAUCCACUAGAGUAAUAUCGAGAACAUUUGGCGAGAAAAUCUUCAAACGAAUCUGCUUGUCUGAAACGCCUUUGUUUCCUCCAGCUUCUCUCUCUGUUUCAGCCUAAUAUCAUUGCCAAUGAUCAGUUAUUGAAUAGUUCCACUGCAUUACAGAAGCUUCUGAGACUAUGGAGAAAGUCCAAAUUCUCAAAAUCCUAUCUUAAUACUAAUUUUUUUUAUAGGUCUAUCUCAUUAGUAAAUAAAACCUCAAGCGAAACUUGCCAGAAAGCCCAUAUAUUGAUAGUAUUGGGACACAUCAAGAAGCAAAAGGCAGGCUAAAACUUAGCGUAAAAUGUGUAAUUAUCCUUGAAAACAGCUCGUUAUGGGAAAGGGCAAAAUCCCUAGGUUUAUUGGCAAAUUACCCAGUAUUUAUAAAAUUCAUCUGAUUCUUUUUAAGUUUUCAUCAUUCAAUUCUUUACUUUUUUUCUUUUUUUUUUUAAUAUCCACAAUAGAUGCAUAAUUGCUUUUCUCAAGUUUCGCAAUAAUGAAUCACUAACUCCCAAACACGUAAAGAAGGCGCUAAAUGUGAAAAUUCAAUUCUGCCAAAAAUCACCUCAAUCUCCUUGCGAAUUUCGUCGAAAUUAAAUAGCUUCUUCCCCGGUAAAUGCAAGAACUCCCCCCACUCCUCUUCAGUCCCGCCAGCCUUCCUCUUGGUCUGGACGAGCUGUAGCACUAGCGGACGGCGCGUACAUAUGUCAUUGCCCCGGGGCAAGAAAUCACGGCCAACUAGUGCCUCCAAGACGCUGGAUUUCCCGCUGCUCUGGCUUCCAAUCACCGCCACCUGCGGAAGCUCAAUUGUGGGUUCUUUCCCGACCCGGGCGAAGAUAUCUUGCAGCUUGUUCACCGUCGGAAUCACCGAGUGACCCAGUGGCGCCGCUGCGGCGUUAGUAGAAAAAACCACUUGAUCUCCACUCAUAUUGAUAAAUUGAUCUAAAAAAUUAAUAAAAAUGGAGACGACUGAAAAAAUCAAACCCUACGCUGAUUCGGGGUUUUGGGUUUAAAGCGAGCUGGCGGAGGAUGGACGCAAGCAAGCUGGGGAAUUUGAAUUUGUACCGUGGGACAAUAUCGUAGCGCUUAAGGAACACAAAAUUGGAUAAAUUACAACAUUGGUCCCAACCUUUGUGUACAUUGACAAUCUCAUUACUUUCUUUUACUUUUCAACAAUUUGGUCUAAAAUCUUUUCAACAAUUUGCAAUAUUACUCCAAACUGUCAAAAAGGUUGUUAAACUUAAACCGAUGUAAAAAUAUGUAUUCUGAAAAAAGUAAAGCAUAGCUAAGCUUGGAGAACAAACUUUACGAGCCUACGUCUAAAAUUUUUUUUUUUAAUUUUUAUUUUAAAUUUUUAAUCAUUCUAAGAAUUGUUUAAUAUAUAUAUCAAAUAUCUAAAAUCAUAAAGUACUAUAUUUAUUUAAUAAUUUCUGCAAUUAAUUAAUUAUACAAUUUCUAAAGGAAAAAUUUACAACUAAAGUCAAAUAAAAAGUUUUUCAUUAAAAAUUGUUUGGAGGAAAUUCUCACCAAUUUUUCAUUAAAAAUUGGACCGUUGGACUGAAAGUGGGCCCCUUCCAACCGUAAAAGUCUAAGGACCUGAUUGGUACUGAUAUGAGAAUCAAUUUUUUAAUCGUUAAAAGAGAAAAGUGGAUCUCACCUGUAAGUGACGAAAUAAAAAAUGACGACUUACUAUGUUAAGUAACAGUUACAAAAUUGAUCUUUAGGCUUGAAAAAUCAAAACCAAAUGGGGGCUAACUCAAAAUUAGUUGAUUUUCCAUAAAUAUCCUUCUUUCAAAAUUAGUGUAUUAGAUGUCAAAAAGAUAAAUACGUAAUUCUGUAUUUCUUAGUCAAUAAGGGUGGUUGGUUUUGACCUUUAUAACGGUAUAAAAAAAAAAAAAAAUGCUAAAUUUUCCUCCAAGGAACCUCGAGGAAUUGCGGAUUAAAAAUGUUAAGAUGAGAACAUGAUGCAGUUUUUAUCAUUAGCAUUACCCAGGCGAACAAAGACUUCUCAUCAUUUGUUACGUCUUGAAUUGUUUGAAAUACUUCUCCAUGAUCUAAAAAUGUCUUGUUUGGUAUUUCUUGAUGUCGCCGUCUUCAAUACAUUGAAAUCCUGUGAUCAAUCAAGGUAGAAUUCGGCAAUAGAAUAUCUCAAAAACCUCCCCUAAUCAUAAACAAAAGCAGGUCUCUGUAAAGGUUUUAGUAACGUUGCUUGUUUGGGAUAGCAUUUUCUUACCAGUGAACCACUCAUUCUGAUGCAAAAUGUAUUGCCAUACCCAUAGGAUAAACAGAUUAAAAAAAAUUAGUUACCUUCUGUGAAUACCAAGCUUUCACAGCCCUGGAAUCAUCUUCGUUCUCCAACACCAGUGAGUUUCUAAGUUUUCUAACGAAAGGCUGAAAGCUACUGGAAAACAUGCAGGAGUGAAUGCCUCCACAGCAGCUGUGAAGAACAAACUAAAUAUAUUUUCAACAUGCAGAGAAUUUUUCUUGACUGAAGUUCCCACAAAAAGGAGAACACGAUUUCUUCCCAAAAUUCGAGAAUUCACAUUCCAAAAUGUCGUUUGCUAGAGAUUUCAAGAAAUAAAAGAGAUGAUGACAUUUCUUUAGCCUCUUCUCAUUCCACAUCUCUUCGAUCUUCUUUACCGCAAUGUCAAACCCAUAAUUUCUCCCAUACUAUGCUACUCCCGGUCUCUUAAGAAUUUCCCAAUAAAGUCACAACAGAUUCCAGAGCCAGUCCAGUGAUGUUGCCCCUUUAAAAGAAUAUGCAUUCUUUGAUGAUGCUGGUUGAUGGAAGAUAUUGACGGCUAUUUUAACUCUCCCCUUGAGAAUGAGUCCAUAUUAGGAUUACCAAACCAUUUUGCCUGCCUGCACACACUCAAUAUUCAAGGAAACACCUGAAAAACUUGUUCCUCCCAUCAACACCCCCCCCCCCUUCCCCAACAACUUUCAUACGUGAGAAAUUAGAGGUAUGAGAAUAUUUGAGUAUUCAGAAAGAUGGCCUCAUGUCACUGAAGAAAGCACGUCCCUGGUUCACAGUUAUCAACAGAGAAAACUGAACAUAUCAACCUGCAGGUUUGCAAGCAGCCGAAAAGAAAGAGGAUCCAAAGAGUACUUGGUACAUUGAAAGAAGCAAUGCACUCAUAAUGACAUAAAAAGGCGAACACAAUCAAAUACUAGCUCACGUAACAACAUAUAAAUUGUGGAACCAAUGGAAACAAUUACGGAUACAAUGAUGUCCAACGUUCUCUUCAAUCUGAUUUGCCACUUCAUCUGUCAAAGAAGAUCGAAAGUAAAAUCCACAAUUAGCAUUUCUUUAACAAAAUAGCACUCCUAGCACACAAUGUAUCCCACCAAGAAUUAAAAUCACCUCAAGAGCAAUUUUUCAAGCACAUUUCCAAAAUCAACAGAUUCUGCAGCUGUAAGAAGUAUAGCACCAAACUCAAGCUAAGUGGAAAAUAUCAAUUAUUAUAGUAAAUUCACUGAAUUUUCACUGACUGAGGAAAAAAUCCAUAUACCUGAAUUAGCAGAUGGACAUACCAAUAAGUCACUUACCCUGCUCGAAGCAGAAAGAUAAGAACCAACUGGGAGAUUAUGUUAUAAGCUAAAUAAACACAAAUCAUAAGCAGAAAAGGAAAGACACGUUAUCGUCUAAUUUCCUGUUGUACUAAAUUCAAAGCCUACAACCUGGUUGAGCUACUUCGUAGUUAACAAAUAGAAUCGACUGAAAAUAAUAGUUUAAUUUUGACAUCCACACAUCGAAAAACACUCAACAUGGAACAUAUAUAUAUUGAACUGGACCACAAUAAAACCAUCAAACGAAAUGCAUGAGUUGGUCUACAUCAUCCAUUACUACAAGUCGAAAAUUACAAGGGUCUUGCUAUCCUAAGCAGCAUCGACGGCAUUAUUAUAGCCUACAAUUACAACAAAAAAAGGGUAUUAAUUCACUAAGCAGCCUUGACAACCUUGUCAUCACCUACAACAUUAAGAAUCGGAAGGCUGCUUAGGAAUUCAUCAAGACCCUCGAAAAACCCAUUCCCUUCAAUGUUGUCAUCCUCUCCGCGUCCUGAUCCAUUUCCUUGGUUCACCCUGGGAGCAGGCUCCUCAACUUCAUUGCUAAAUUCCACAUUCAAAUCCAACUUCCCAAAGUUCUUUGCAACUCUCCCAGGUUGCUUCCGUGCAUUAGCCGCAGACCCUUUCUUACUCGGCUCACCAGUUGGUUUACUAGGCGUCUCCACGUCCAGCGAAGCUACAAAUUUAUCUUGUACAUUCACAUUUUUAGCUUUAUCAACUUGUGCUUUUUUCACAUUUUUAUUUGGCUUCCUGCCAGCUCCUUUUCCUUUAACACUAUUCAUUUUCUUCUUCUUUUUCUUCUUCUCCGUACCAUUCUUCCAAUCAUCAUCAGACCCACUCGAGUUUGAGAGUUCCACAAUAUCAUCAUCAUCAUCAUCAAUAUAUACUCUAGGAGCUGAGCUCUUCCGUCCACCCUUAUUAUUUGCAUUCGGCAUUUGUGGGGAAGUAAACAUAGGCGAAAACGGGGACCACUGCGAAGCUGCAGCUCGAUUUUUCUCCAAAUUUGCCAUUGAAACGCCCAACGGUAAAAAUCCCCAGCAACAGAAGUACUGCUCUUGUCCAUCUGCGAUUGGCGGUGGCGAUGGAAUAGCCACUGCCUGAAACGCUCUUUUACAUUUUUGACACCGCAGAGUACAGUCAGUGUAAACACUGGGAUACUCGUACAUGUGAUAACAAUAAGGACACGCAGUCCAGAAAGUCGGCACACCAUCACCUGCGGGUGCAUCCACUCUCUCCACCUCUUCUAUGUUCUCAUCAGCAGCAGUAUCCUGACUAGUUUUAUGACUUUUAUCUGUAACAUUUGAAUAAUUUUUCUCUGGCUGUGGCUGCUUAUUCACUUGUUCCUGAGUUGACCUAGACGCAGAAGCUACAUUCCCAAUAAAACUAGGGUAACUUUGUUGUGGCUGUUUAUUCACUUGUUCUUGAGUCGAAACAGAUCCCGACCCAGACCCAAAAGCUAUAUUACCACCAGAAGAAAAAUUAAUAAAGCCAUGUACUUGUUGCUUACUCACUUGUUCAGGACUCGACCCAAAAGUUAUCGGAUCGGGAGCUACGACAUGUGCUUGAGGGAUAUGACUCGCAGAAAUAGUACUGCUAGCAUGUACCGGUGGUUGAGUGACAUGAGGGCUUGCACUACUGCUGCUUCCUCCGAAGAAAAUGAAGUUCUGCUGCAUUGAAGGAAUAGUCAAAUGCUCAUGAGCCGACGCAGAGCUAAACGGGUCGCGCUGUUGCUGCAGAUGGAAACCCAGUUCCUUAUCGUACACCGAUUUCGUCGAUGGGUUAGAGAGCACCGACCACGCGUCCACCACCAGUCGAAACGCCUGGUCCGCAAAGGGGAAAUUAUUCUUCUGAGGGUUCAAUAAAAGGGUUAGUCGGCGGUACUGAUUUGCAAUAAGCUCCGAGUCAUGGCACUGGAGGGGUGCUUGAAGAAUCGAGUACCAAUCAAGCUGGUUAUUAUUGAUCCGCCGGUCACCGGCGAGGAGCGUGUCAGUCACAGCGAGGACUUGCUCCGACUGCAAAAGGGUCGGGUCAGAAUCCCGAGCCCGGGUCGCAAAUGACUUGCUUCCAAGCAAAUCACGCGCUGACAACAAUUUUUCGGCGAUUGCCAGCCACCUCAAAGCCUCCGAUCGAGUGGUGGUUGUCGGAAAAAAUGAUUGUUCCAUAAUUCUUUUUCCCUUCUAAUUUCUGCUUCGUUUUGUGAGUGGGUUGGGGAUGGAGAGUAGAAGAAGAGUGAGGAUUUUCUUGUGGACGAAAAAGGGCCCGGGUUUUUACAGUAAAGUCAUGAUGUUUAUGGGGGAAAGGGUUGGGGAGAUGAGAAUAAAUGCGUAAUGUGAAGGAGAGUCUUGACUUUGGGACAUUGAUUGUGCCAUCUUUACAUAGCAAUUUAUAUCUACAUGAUGAGUUAUCAAGUAACGCUAUUUGUUUGUAAUUGAGUUAUUUAUGUUCUCUUUGCUAUUUUCAGAUCGUUUUCUAUUUUCGAUUUUUCAAAAUGAUGAAAACGCAUUCUCUUUUCUAUUUUCGAAAACGCUUUCUCGAAAAAAAAAAUUAUGAAGAAAACACAAAACGAUCAAAAUGUCGUUUUGACUGUUUUGUGUACAAAACUUGUGAAAAUCAGAAAACGCGAAAAAUGACCCAAAUUAAAAAAUUUCCACCAUCUUCUUCAAUUCUCAUCCCCUUCACAGUCAUCGCCUUCUUCCUCCAAACUCCACCACCACCCGCCACCUGGACCACCGAACUCCACCACCAGUCAAACCCCCUCACCUCCCCCAAUGGCGGCGCCACACUUGGGCACUUCGAAAACAAUGGACUGCUCGAAUUUUUUGCACAAGCCACUGAUUGCACUAAUAAAUUAAUCAACUUCUGGGCGAAAUUGGGGUUGAACCAUUGCUGCACAAGGUGCGCCAGGUGAAGAGGAGUUCAACCCAUGUGGUCCGUGACCAUGGGUCGACCGGACGACGCCAGAAUCUGCAAAAAUAGGAUUCUGCUGGAUAGGCUUCGCGACGCCCAAAAUUUUUGGGUUAAAUUUAGAUUUUUGAAUUGUUGUUUGUGUUAAAUUUGCUUCUGGUGUGGGUUUGAGAAUAAUUUCGACAUUGUCAUGAACUCCUUGUAACAGAAGUUCCCCGUCGUAUGUCAAGACUUUACGCCUUUUUGCUGCACGCAAUGUUCCAACCAGUGCUUCAAAGAUGUUUGCACAUCUGUCAUCGUUAAACAGCACCCCGAAUGUAACCUUCAAAUCAAAAACAGAGCAGAGGUGAUAUCAACUCUAUACGUUUAAAUUUCUCUAAUUAAGAAAAAUAAAAGAAUUUGUGCAUCUUCAUGUAAGAAGAUGGAAGAUUUCAUGUAGCAAAGACUAAUA